AUUGAACGCUGGCGACAGGCUUAACACAUGCAAGUCGAGCGAGCGGCGGACGGGUUAGUUAUGUCUGUGAAACUGCCUGAUGGAGGGGGAUAACUACUGGAAACGGUAGCUACUACCGCAUACCUUCAGCUGUGCCCAGAUGGGAUUAGCUAGUGGGUGGGGUAAUGGCUCACGUAGGCGACGAUCCCUAGCUGGUCUGAGAGGAUGACCAGCCAAACUGGAACUGAGACACGGUCCAGACUCCUACGGGAGGCAGCAGUGGGGAAUAUUGGACAAUGGGCGAAAGCCUGAUGCAGCCAUGCCGCGUGUGUGAAGAAGGCCUUCGGGUUGUAAAGCACUUUAAGCGAGGAGGCGUUACUCGCAGAAGAAGCACCGGCUAACUCCGUGCCAGCAGCCGCGGUAAUUC
rnacentral:rRNA from 1 species